rnacentral:rRNA from 1 species
UACGUAGGGUGCGAGCGUUGUCCGGAAUUAUUGGGCGUAAAGGGCUCGUAGGCUGUUUGUCGCGUCGGGAGUGAAAUCCACUGGCUUAACUGGUGGCUUGCUUUCGAUACGGGCAGACUGGAGGUAUGCAGGGGAGAACGGAAUUCCUGGUGUAGCGGUGAAAUGCGCAGAUAUCAGGAGGAACACCGGUGGCGAAGGCGGUUCUCUGGGACGGUACUGACGCUGAGACGCGAAAGCGUGGGGAGCGAACAGG